UUACUGUAUAUGUACUCAACACUUGGUAGGGGCUCCUUUUGCUUUAAUUACUGCCUCAAUUCGGCGUGGCAUGGAGGUGAUCAGUUUGUGGCACUGCUGAGGUGGUAUGGAAGCCCAGGUUUCUUUGAAAGUGGCCUUCAGCUCAUCUGCAUUUUUUGGUCUCUUGUUUCUCAUUUUCCUCUUGACAAUACCCCAUAGAUUCUCUAUGGGGUUCAGGUCUGAUGCGUUUGCUGGCCAGUCAAGCACACCAACACCAAGGUCAUUUAACCAACUUUUGGUGCUUUUGGCAGUGUGGGCAGGUGCCAAAUCCUGCUGGAAAAUGAAAUCAGCAUCUUUAAAAAGCUGGUCAGCAGAAAGAGGCAUGAAGUGCUCCAAAAUUUCUUGGUAAACGGGUGCAGUGACUUUGGUUUUCAAAAAACACAAUGGACCAACACCAGCAGAUGACAUUGCACCCCAAAUCAUCACAGACUGUGGAAACUUAACACUGGACUUCAAGCAACUUGGGCUAUGAGCUUCUCCACCCUUCCUCCAGACUCUAGGACCUUGGUUUCCAAAUGAAAUACAAAACUUGCUCUCAUCUGAAAAGAGGACUUUGGACCACUGGGCAACAGUCCGGUUCUUCUUCUCCUUAGCCCAGGUAAGACGCCUCUGAUGUUGUCUGUGGUUCAGGAAGUACGUAUGGUCUUACUGGGUAACUUACAUAGCCAAUUCUUACUCUCUCUGGCAUUCAUUCUUCAUCAAACUGAAGCAUAACUGAUAGACUAUCCAUCCUUUCUUUAUUUUUAACAUAUUGAAGCCGUUUUGCUCCAAUUAUCUUCCCCCCUUCAGUGCAGCUUUUAAUUUUGUCAGCAGGUACAUCUGUAGGAAUUCCAGUUAUUACACCUCUUACCCAAGGCUUCCUAUUCAUCAAUGUGCAUGAUACCAAGAAUCCAAGCAUCGAAUUUAUACUCAGUGCCUUCUUUUGUUGUUUUUCGUCUUUACACAUGAUGAUCAAAUUUCCAUCUCUCAGAGUCUUAGCACUAUUUAUUUCUCCUUAUGCUUUUUUCAGAGCUUUGGCCAGUUUAAUUGGGUUAAUCAUCAUGCCCGGUUCUGCGAAUUUCAACAUUACUUUAAAUUCUUCUGUAUUUUUCCUACUCACAUGAUCCUCCUUUCCACUAUCCAUAUAUGAUCCUUGAAUACUAGUUUUCUUUCUUUUCCGAUUAACUAUUUUCCACCAUUCAUUCCCUCCAGCACUCCCGCUACACGAUUCAUCCUCCAUUUCUGGAUCGCUGCCAGAGCUACCUUCAUUUCCUGCCAUCGGUGCUCCAGUCACAGUCCAGUGCUGCCAACCAACCACCUUCCGCUGCUCCUCGCCGUAGUCUGUCUCACGCUGUCAGUCGGUCUGGGCGUGCAGCAUCAAACUUUGGCUGGGCCAGAUGAUUUAUUGAAGUUACUAAUACUGCAAGUGAAAAUCCGGAGAAAAAGAAUACUGAAAAUGAUGUGGGCUAUUAUCUGAUUGGUCCUCCUGCUCUCGUUACUGCUGCAGUUGUAGAUUGUUCCAUUGGCUGUGACGGUUCUCAGGUGAAAAGUGGAUGGAUGCUUUUAGGUCAGAAGCAUCAAAAGGGAGGUCAUGAAGAAACCUGCCUGAAAAUUAUCAGUGAUGGCCAGUUCUGCAGCCAAACAGAUGCUCAAUGUAUCUGUAAAACCAUCUGGAACUGAUAUUGAGUUGACAAUAGGCCCUGGAUUGAAUGAGCUGGAUGAAUUCUAGAAAAACCCUGAAAUGACACAAGAACGGUAGGGAAGGGGAGCCUUUUUUUGUUUUAACACAUUUUCAAUUUUCUCUUGUUUUUGGAUAGCAAGAGAGUCAGUAUACUCAUUGUAUUUUCUUUUAUAACAAAAUUAGGUAGUACUUUAGAUUGGAUAGAGUAGGCAGGAAGAUAGAGGGUGUUAUGUUAAUUAUUUUGGCAUAUACCCCUUCCUGAAGAGAUUAUUUUCUUUAAAAUGAUGUUUGUUGUCUAAUCAAGCCAUGAGAACGAAAGGGGAUGAUGAGGGUCUGAAGCAGAUCAUUAUCCAUGUUACGAGGUAAUGUAACCAGAAUUAAAAGGAAAUGAUAAGAGGGUUUAUUUUGAUUAUAUAUGAACUUCUUAAAUGUUUUAAAAGUAUUAUUUAUUGUUCGAAUCAUCUCUGAAGGUACUAUUAACCAAGUAAAUUACUGUAGAGUGAAAAAUAGUAUGCAUUAAUGAACUCUGAAAACACACUGGAAGUGCCACUGGAGGGCCAGAGAAUUGAACAUCGUAAAGAGAGGAUCGACGAGCACCUCAGUGCUUAGCAGCAAGAGCAAGACUCUACUGGAGGUUUAAAAACCCACUGUCUGCUCCAACACCACCAGAUAGCGCUCCAGGCUACCAGAAAUGUCUGUGAGUUCCUCUGGCACCAUGGGACAUAUCAUAUGCUGAAGUAGUCUACUGAUAUUGUCUAAUCACUGUAGUAUGUUAACCUACUGAAAUAAGUCUAAUCACUGGUGUAUUCUACAUAACGCAAGGCCAACUUUGCAUGCACAUGCUUUAUACAAGAAUUUGAUUGCUGUUACCUUCCAGAAAGAACUGAGCUAGAGAGAUGAGAUCUUUUACUUCCUUCUAGUCAAAUGUGGAGGGAGAUGUUUGGUUUUAUUUCUACUCCAGAGUGCAGUUCCAUAAGAGCAGUCAUUGUUAGAGGAAUGAGUGACUUAUAUUAGUCACUUGAUAGGAAUGAAGGAGACUGACUUGUGAGGUUGCACUCUGGGAAAGGGCGAUAGAGGUGAGACUUUUAAUAAGUCUCAAAGGAGGGAAUAUAUAGUACAUUUUUAUAAAUUUUAGUGUAUUUUUAUAUAUCAAACAAAGAAAAAGUACUUAGUUAAUCAUUCAGUUAAUAAUUGAAUGAGUAUGUAUGCAAUUUGCAGUGAUCUAAAAAUGACAAUGUGUAAUCAUUGUACAAUGAAUAACUGUAUUAUCAAUGUUAUUCAAUAUGUUACAUAUUUAAUUAUUAUUUUAUUGAUUUAAUACUCUGAUUUACUCUAAUGCAGUUUGAAACUAUGGAAAACAGCUUAGCUUGCAGUCUCUUUCUGUGUAAGGCCUUUCUGGAUCAAGGGAAAAUUAGUUGAUGUGAUACAGACAGUGAGAGACCUUGGGAAACAGGUGAAGGGAUGCAGGUGUCAAGCAAAUGAGUAGGGAGUUUUCUAUUAAACUUUGUAUGACCCAAAGGGAGGUGCACAUGGGUAAAUUAAAAGGAAAAUUUAAUGAGCAGAGCUGGUGCUGAUAACGCCAAGGCACUGAGAUGAAACAGCAAGUUGGGUCGGGAUGACCAGCUGGAAGGGAGAUGGUGAUGACGAAACUAGGGGGCAUAAGAUGAUUUUAUUGGAUGAAGAGGCCAUCACUAGAGAGAGGGUGGAACAGAAGCUGUAUAAAGGAUGCAUGAUUCUGAAGUGUAAUUUCAGAUGCUAGGUGAUCAACUGGCAUCUUGGCUUUGUUGCUUUGUUCAAUAAAGUCUAAUCUUUGAUA